UAGGGAAUCUUCCGCAAUGGGCGAAAGCCUGACGGAGCAACGCCGCGUGAGUGAUGAAGGUCUUCGGAUCGUAAAACUCUGUUAUUAGGGAAGAACAAAUGUGUAAGUAACUAUGCACGUCUUGACGGUACCUAAUCAGAAAGCCACGGCUAACUACGUGCCAGCAGCCGCGGUAAUACGUAGGUGGCAAGCGUUAUCCGGAAUUAUUGGGCGUAAAGCGCGCGUAGGCGGUUUUUUAAGUCUGAUGUGAAAGCCCACGGCUCAACCGUGGAGGGUCAUUGGAGACUGGAAAACUUGAGUGCAGAAGAGGAAAGUGGAAUUCCAUGUGUAGCGGUGAAAUGCGCAGAGAUAUGGGGGAACACCAGUGGCGAAGGCGACUUUCUGGUCUGUAACUGACGCUGAUGUGCGAAAGCGUGGGGAUCAAACAGG
rnacentral:rRNA from 1 species